rnacentral:rRNA from 1 species
UGGGGAUUAGUGGCGAACGGGUGAGUAACACGUGGGCAAUCUGCCCUGCACUCUGGGACAAGCCCUGGAAACGGGGUCUAAUACCGGAUACUGACCCGCUUGGGCAUCCAAGCGGUUCGAAAGCUCCGGCGGUGCAGGAUGAGCCCGCGGCCUAUCAGCUUGUUGGUGAGGUAAUGGCUCACCAAGGCGACGACGGGUAGCCGGCCUGAGAGGGCGACCGGCCACACUGGGACUGAGACACGGCCCAGACUCCUACGGGAGGCAGCAGUGGGGAAUAUUGCACAAUGGGCGAAAGCCUGAUGCAGCGACGCCGCGUGAGGGAUGACGGCCUUCGGGUUGUAAACCUCUUUCAGCAGGGAAGAAGCGAAAGUGACGGUACCUGCAGAAGAAGCGCCGGCUAACUACGUGCCAGCAGCCGCGGUAAUACGUAGGGCGCGAGCGUUGUCCGGAAUUAUUGGGCGUAAAGAGCUCGUAGGCGGCUUGUCACGUCGGUUGUGAAAGCCCGGGGCUUAACCCCGGGUCUGCAGUCGAUACGGGCAGGCUAGAGUUCGGUAGGGGAGAUCGGAAUUCCUGGUGUAGCGGUGAAAUGCGCAGAUAUCAGGAGGAACACCGGUGGCGAAGGCGGAUCUCUGGGCCGAUACUGACGCUGAGGAGCGAAAGCGUGGGGAGCGAACAGGAUUAGAUACCCUGGUAGUCCACGCCGUAAACGGUGGGCACUAGGUGUGGGCGACAUUCCACGUCGUCCGUGCCGCAGCUAACGCAUUAAGUGCCCCGCCUGGGGAGUACGGCCGCAAGGCUAAAACUCAAAGGAAUU